rnacentral:lncRNA from 1 species
AUCCUAAAGCAAAUACCCACAAUGGAUUCUUUACAAAUUGUUUUUCUUGAUGGGAAAAAUUAAUAUAUACACGAUCUGUUACAUGUCUUAAACAAGGUGAUUAUGUCUUAAACUCAGUUGUGUCUUAAAAUAUAUCCCAAACUACCUGAUCUUUAAAAAAGGACUUUCAACGAAUAUUUUAAAGUCCAGAUAAAGUAAAAUUACUUUUUUUUCCUGAUCUAGAGUUUUACCUGUUAACAUAGACAUUAUAAACAGGACUUUCCAGUUCUUUGGGAAAGUAGACAUGGGAGAGAAGUAGUAAUGUCUGUAAAUCCUCCAAGAGAGCAACUCAGUGCUGAGCAAUUAUGGGCUCCCCCGACUCCUGCUUUGUUAGUUGUUUUUUUUUUUCUUCAACACCAUAAGGGGGUAAAGAGUUGAGAGAAGACAAUCACCUAGAUUUUUUUUCAGAAUAAAAAGUGCAUCUAAAAAACCAUUCAACAGCAUUAAUUGUACCCCAAGAUUUCCAGUUAUCUAAUUGCACAAAGCUCAAGUCUUUGUUUUAGAACUUAUGCUAGUAGGUUUUUAGUUAUUUGCACAACAUAUUCCCAAAACUAUUUCCUAUUUCAAUUUUUCCAUCAUACUAGCAUUAUAGGAAUAUCUAAAUUUACAGUUAAUUUAUGAUUUUUCUUAAUACCCUUUGAAAGUAGACACACAAAGAGAUCAGUAGAGAAAGUGAGGCUACUGUCAGCCUUGUAGCUGAUACAGAAUGGGUCAGUGCAGUCGAGACAAGACUUAGUCUUGGAAUAGAUAUCCACAGUGAGUUUUGACAGUAAGGAAGCCACUGCUUGUUUUAAAGCACUCUUUGACUUACCGUUAUGCUCUCAUAGAACUAGCAUUAUUAAACUUUAUUGGAUCCCUUAGAAUUUGUCAAGAACUAAUCUGCUAGUUCUUCUUUGCCCCAGUGUGAUGCAGCUGCUCCCUGGCUUUGCUCGUAUCCAGUGGUAGGUGUUAAGCUAGGAACCUUCUUGUUCUCGAUAGGCACAUGCUGGGUUUCUGGUAUUUUGGAUAAUAGUAUUAGCUGCUGAUUCUACUUUAUUUUCUAGUGACUGUUUAGAGCAAUUAAUUGAUACCUUGUUCCAUGUGGUAAUAGCUUUCAUCACGGAACCUUUUUUUUUUUGUAAAUUUCCCAGAAGGAACUUAAGAGUUAACUGAUUGGUAUAAAGAAACUAAAUGGGCAUUUUUCUGUCUUGUUUCUAUUUACUGUAAUUAUUCCUUGUCGGGUUAUGCAUUAACAAAGUCUCUGUGUAGUUUGAUAAACUUUAAUUGUAAGAUUAUUUUUUAAACUGUUGUUUUAACAAAUAAAAUAGAUCCCAAGGCAAUGCAGUGCUGAUUGCCAUCACUGCCUGGGGUGGGCUUCUCUUCUGUUGAAGGGAUUGCCUGCUGUAUGACAAAUCAACAAAUCACAUUCUGUUUUUGAAUAAAAUACAAACAAACAAACUGGCUACCCAGGCCAAAGAAGGAGGUGUUAGGGUUUUGUUCAUCUGCUCUCCUGACUCACCCCGAGUGCUGGGGGACGUAAGGGCACUCAUUGAUUUGUGUUUCUGUCUGCUUUGGGUUUUCUUUUAUAUGCGAUUCCAUGUUACUAAGAGCACAUGCUCUGUAUUUUCUGCCCUCCCCUCUUUGUGUGUUCAUAGUAUUUUUGGAAGACUGAUACAUAAAUUGGGUAUUUCUAUGGGAAUCUUAAGGCGUGGCUGCUCUCUGUGGAAGGGGAAAGCAUAAUUAAGUUAAUGCACUUCUUUUCCUAGCUCCAAAGUCACUGUGAUGUAUAUUUUUUUAAUGGAAUUUAGAAAACUUGUUUUCUCAAUUGUAAAAUUAGUUUAAAAUGCUGCUUCUCUUAUCAUUAGUCUAGUAAAUGUUGAACUGUUUUCUGCAAAUUGCAUUUUACAAAACUUAAACUUCAAAACUGUAUUCUUUUAUAGUUAAACAUUGUAUUAAAUAAAGUAUACUAUAAUAAAC